UUUAAAAUCCAUCCUGAAAUCCCCGAAUCCCUAUCAGCAGAAGCCAAAGCUUUCAUCCUGCUCUGUUUUGAGCCUGAUCCUGUGAAACGUGCUACAGUAACUGAUCUGCUUACAGAUUCUUUCCUAAAGCAGUCAAAUAAGGGCAAGAAGAGUAAAAUUGCUUUCAAACCUUCAGUUCCAGGGGAGCUUGCUGGCAGCAGCAGUAGUGAGUAUGGAUCUGUGUCCCCUGACUCUGAUGCAAAGCAAGAACUGUUUUUCGAAAAAACCAAGAGGUCAAAUUCCGAUUUACCCAUCAGCAAAGGUUCAAGUUCUAACUUUUUAAGUGUUCCAGAUUACAGUUCUGUAUCAGAGGAUCGGAGUAAUCCUCCUUCACCAGAGGAAAGAGACUCUGGCUUGUUCCUGCUGCGGAAAGACAGUGAACGACGUGCAAUUCUCUACAAGAUUCUAAAUGAA